rnacentral:sRNA from 1 species
UUAAUUUUGUGAUCGUCUUUUUGUCCAGAGUUCUUCACAAUGAAGGAAAAUAUUACGUAU